AACACGUGGGAAACCUGCCCAGAAGCGGGGGAUAACACCUGGAAACAGAUGCUAAUACCGCAUAACAACUUGGACCGCAUGGUCCGAGCUUGAAAGAUGGCUUCGGCUAUCACUUUUGGAUGGUCCCGCGGCGUAUUAGCUAGAUGGUGGGGUAACGGCUCACCAUGGCAAUGAUACGUAGCCGACCUGAGAGGGUAAUCGGCCACAUUGGGACUGAGACACGGCCCAAACUCCUACGGGAGGCAGCAGUAGGGAAUCUUCCACAAUGGACGAAAGUCUGAUGGAGCAACGCCGCGUGAGUGAAGAAGGGUUUCGGCUCGUAAAACUCUGUUGUUAAAGAAGAACAUAUCUGAGAGUAACUGUUCAGGUAUUGACGGUAUUUAACCAGAAAGCCACGGCUAACUACGUGCCAGCAGCCGCGGUAAUACGUAGGUGGCAAGCGUUGUCCGGAUUUAUUGGGCGUAAAGCGAGCGCAGGCGGUUUUUUAAGUCUGAUGUGAAAGCCUUCGGCUCAACCGAAGAAGUGCAUCGGAAACUGGGAAACUUGAGUGCAGAAGAGGACAGUGGAACUCCAUGUGUAGCGGUGAAAUGCGUAGAUAUAUGGAAGAACACCAGUGGCGAAGGCGGCUGUCUGGUCUGUAACUGACGCUGAGGCUCGAAAGUAUGGGUAGCAAACAGGAUUAGAUACCCUGGUAGUCCAUACCGUAAACGAUGAAUGCUAAGUGUUGGGAGGGUUUCCGCCCUUCAGUGCUGCAGCUAACGCAUUAAGCAUUCCGCCUGGGGAGUACGGCCGCAAGGCUGAAACUCAAAGGAAUUGACGGGGGCCCGCACAAGCGGUGGAGCAUGUGGUUUAAUUCGAAGCUACGCGAAGAACCUUACCAGGUCUUGACAUACUAUGCAAAUCUAAGAGAUUAGACGUUCCCUUCGGGGACAUGGAUACAGGUGGUGCAUGGUUGUCGUCAGCUCUUGUCCUGAGAUGUUUGGGUUAAGUCCCGCAACGAGCGCCACCCCUUAUUAUCAAUUUGCCAGCAUUAAAUUUGGGCACUCUGGGGGAGACUGCCCGGUGACAAACCCGAAGGAAAGAGUGGGGAAUGAAAGUUCGAAUACAUCCUUGGCCCCCUCUAUUGACCCGGGGGGUACCAACCGUGGUU
rnacentral:rRNA from 1 species